ensembl:lncRNA
GCCAAUUCUUGUAAAUAACCCAUGAAAACACAUUCAUACUAAAUAACUCUGAAACCAGAGCUCUUUCUUUCUUUCUUUCUUUCUUUCUUUCUUUCUUUCUUUAUUUAUUUAUUUAUUUAUUUAUAUUCCCCUGGUUAAUUAAUGAAUAAAAGACAGAAACAAUGUUAUAGCUGCAAAAAUUAUGUUAGAUUGCUAUAAUUUUAAGACACAAAAAUGUGAAUUUUCGGACACAGCUCACUGAUAGAAACUUAAGGAAAGAUGAUGAUAUGGAAGGCUCUUUGGCAGAGGCCUUAUGGCAGUUGAGAUUAUUGUCUCUGAGUGAGAGCCUGCAUACUUAGGAGAAUGUGAACAACAUUUUCUUCAGUCUACACAGAAGAUUUUAUCAAAUCUGGACAUCGCGGAAACUUGACUUCAGGAAAGAAGGAUAUCAUUGGCCUCCUUGGCCACAAGGGCACACUGUUGACUCGUGGCCAACCUGUUGUCCACCGGGAUGUCCAGGUCCUUUUCUGCAGAGCUCACCUCCAGGAGGUCAUCCCAUAACCUGUACUGAUACCUGUGGCUAUCAUUAGUAUGUUCAAAACCAAUGGAGUAUAGAGAAGCCCACCGGGGAGAAAAUAAGUCAAAGAAAACCACAAGCAAGUCCACCACUUGCAAUGCUGACACUCUAAUAACAGAUUAAAGUUAUAUCUUCAGGAUCUAUUAAUUAUAGCUAAUAAAUUUUUGUUUAAGGACUUUCAAAACAGCUCUUGAUCACGAUCCGUUGACUGCAGCGUCCAAAUGUAUCAGCUGAAUAAACAAAUCCUCAUCUUUAAUUUUUUAACCAUUUGAAAAAUUAUAAUUUGAAUAUUAUGAAAUGAGAAAUUUUCUAUUUUAUAUCAUGAUCUUAAUAAUAGAGUAAUAAAAAAUAGAGGCUUCAAAAUCCACAAAAUCAUUCAUUAUAAAAUCAUACAGGAAACACAUUACAAAUUUGGUUAUCACUGACUGUACUUUGAGCAUGGAAAGAGACGAUUUUUUUAAAAUUUAUUUUAUUUUUUAUGAUAUUUUUAAUAAAUUAAAUCAUUGCAUAUAAACAUAGUAAUGUAUUUCCCUGUAUAUCUAAAAUAACUCAUAAAUGUUCUCAAGGCAUUGAUAUAUGUCCUCUUCUUAAUAAACUAUUUUUAUGGUUUGUGCUGAUGAAACAAUUAUUCAUACAGAAUUAAUCUGGAAAUUAAAGACAUAUUUUAAAUAUUAAAUCACACAUCCCUAGUCAGUUUUUCUAGUGAUUCUAAAAUGGAACAACCUCUUUAUUUACUCCUUUCUUUUUAGAUUUGCUCACAUGCUGGCCACUUAAG